rnacentral:rRNA from 1 species
UACGUAGGGUGCGAGCGUUGUCCGGAAUUACUGGGCGUAAAGAGCUCGUAGGUGGUUUGUCGCGUUGUCCGUGAAAACUCACAACUCAAUUGUGGGCGUGCGGGCGAUACGGGCAGACUGGAGUACUGCAGGGGAGACUGGAAUUCCUGGUGUAGCGGUGAAAUGCGCAGAUAUCGAGAGGAACACCUGCGGCGAAGGCGGGUAGCUGGGCCGACACUGACGCUGAUGCGCGAAAGCCAGGGGAGCGAACGGG